rnacentral:rRNA from 1 species
UACGGAGGAUGCAAGCGUUAUCCGGAUUCAUUGGGUUUAAAGGGUGCGCAGGCGGAGUGAUAAGUCAGUGGUGAAAUCCUACGGCUCAACUGUAGAACUGCCAUUGAUACUGUCAUUCUUGAGUACUGUUGAGGUGGGCGGAAUGUGUCAUGUAGCGGUGAAAUGCUUAGAUAUGACACAGAACACCGAUCGCGAAGGCAGCUCACCAAGCAGAAACUGACGCUCAUGCACGAAAGCGUGGGGAU